GACGAACGCUGGCGGCGUGCCUAAUACAUGCAAGUCGAGCGAACAGAUGAAGUGCUUGCACUUCUGACGUUAGCGGCGAACGGGUGAGUAACACGUAAGGAAUCUACCUAUAAGCGGGGGAUAACAUUCGGAAACGGGUGCUAAUACCGCAUAAUAUCUUCUUCCGCAUGGAAGAAGAUUGAAAGACGGCUCUGCUGUCACUUAUAGAUGACCUUGCGGUGCAUUAGUUAGUUGGUGGGGUAAUGGCCUACCAAGACGAUGAUGCAUAGCCGACCUGAGAGGGUGAUCGGCCACAUUGGGACUGAGACACGGCCCAAACUCCUACGGGAGGCAGCAGUAGGGAAUCUUCCGCAAUGGGCAAAGCCUGACGGAGCAAUGCCGCGUGAGUGAAGAAGGCCUUCGGGUCGUAAAACUCUGUUAUAAGAGAAGAACAAAUUGUAGAGUAACUGCUACUAGUCUUGACGGUAUCUUAUCAGAAAGCCACGGCU
rnacentral:rRNA from 1 species